GUGGGGGACCGUUCGGGCCGUCACGCUCUUGGAGCGGCCGAUAGCUGAUUAGCUAGUUGGUGGGGUAAAGGCCUACCAAGGCGAUGAUCAGUAGCUGGUCUGAGAGGACGAUCAGCCACACUGGGACUGAGACACGGCCCAGACUCCUACGGGAGGCAGCAGUGGGGAAUUUUGGACAAUGGGGGAAACCCUGAUCCAGCAAUGCCGCGUGAGUGAAGAAGGCCUUCGGGUUGUAAAGCUCUUUUGUCAGGGAAGAAAAGGACCGGGCCAAUACCCUGGUUACAUGACGGUACCUGAAGAAUAAGCACCGGCUAACUACGUGC
rnacentral:rRNA from 1 species